AGAGAUGGAUUGGUGCCUUCGGGAACUCUGACACAGGUGCUGCAUGGCUGUCGUCAGCUCGUGUCGUGAGAUGUUGGGUUAAGUCCGUACGAGCGCAACCCUUGUCCUUAGUUACCAGCACGUUAUGGUGGGCACUCUAAGGAGACUGCCGGUGACAAACCGGAGGAAGGUGGGGGAUGACGUCAAGUCAUCAUGGCCCUUACGGCCUGGGCUACACACGUGCUACAAUGGUCGGUACAAAGGGUUGCCAAGCCGCGAGGUGGAGCUAAUCCCAUAAAACCGAUCGUAGUCCGGAUCGCAGUCUGCAACUCGACUGCGUGAAGUCGGAAUCGCUAGUAAUCGUGAAUCAGAAUGUCACGGUGAAUACGUUCCCGGGCCUU
rnacentral:rRNA from 1 species